UUGCUUCAGCUGCACAUAUAUUAAAAUUAGAAUAAUACCCUGAAGACUAACAUGGCUCCUGGGCCAGGAUGACACGCACAUUUGUGAACCAUUCCAUUGUUUU
ensembl:snRNA U6 U6 spliceosomal RNA